UGGCUGGUAGCUCAGUGGUUAGAGCGUCAGUCUGCAGACUGAAGAGUCCCAGGUUCCAUUUCAGUCAA
rnacentral:tRNA from 1 species